rnacentral:lncRNA from 1 species
GCCAUAGCAGCAGAGUCGAGUAGCUGUGACAGAGGCUAUACGGUCCACAAAGCCUAAAUAUUUAUUACCUGGUGCUUUAUGAAAAAGUUCGCCAAUCUCUGUUAGUUCUUGUUUCCUGCACAUACAGCUCCACUGAAUCUGGGUUAUAGAUCAAUAUCAAGUGUUCCCAUCAAUACAGCUAUCCACGCAGCACACUGAAGAGAGACUAUACAGUCAGUAUUACUCCUGCUAAAUACCCAGAGGGACCACAACCAACUUUCCUGGUCUGUGUUCCAUUAUACAAAAGAGGACUACAAAGAAAAGGACUGUGGAAAUAAAUGCAUACUCUUCUUUUGAAAUUCGUGAGGAAUGUUCAUGAUUUUUAACCAUAAGACAGCAAAAUGGGAUAAGGUGAUAAACAAUGCAAACGGUACUGUAACUGUUAAAGAAAAAAAGGAAGAAAUGCAAAGAAAAAAGAAAGUCAUCACUAGGAAUCUUAAAUUCUGAAAAAAAGAGUUCAAAAAGAUCUAAUGGGGAGAAGAGAACUUUCCAACUGUUGUCAUCCUGCUAUUGUAACCUGAGCCCCUCCCAAGUUUUCAGACUCCAAAAUCAGAUCUAAUUAAAAGAAAAUGGAAAAGGACUUGGAGCCUUUUCAGCUCUGGAUAACAUGCAGACAAAUAAAUUAAAAAGGGGGAGAAGUGGAACUAACCCAAUAAUCCGUGAAAAGCUCAUUUCCCUCCCGGCCGCCACUGAUGCAACACUGUCCUUCCUCCCUCCCAUCCUCUGGUUCAGGGGCAGUGAGUGGAGAAAUUGGCUAACAAGAUCAGAAAAUUUAAUUACAGCUCUGCCGUCCCCUUCCGAGAAGUUGGCUGUCACACUUCCCUUUUGCAGAUCGUCGUCUGAAUGUGCUGUCUCUGAUGAGCUUCCCCUCCGCCCCAGUCUCACUCAUCUCCCGACAUCGGCUCGGGACGGUGGACACAGACACUUUAAUUUGGGGGUUUAGAAGGAUUAGAUAUGAAGAUUAAAAGGAGCAGUUGGAGAAGAGAAUGUCGUUAUCCUCUCAUUUCCUUUGGUCUGCCUGAGCAACUUUGCCCAGUCUUAUCCCAAGAGAAGUACUGUGGGAGCCCCAAAGGCUUAGCAUCCUCGCAUUCCAGACCUAAAGAAGCCCUGAGACCCUGUAGAAGGAGCAGACACACCUGCAUUCAAGUGUCUGUUUUGCAUGCUGACUCAGAGAUACAGGAACGGCUUCCUUGAGCAGUGUUUCUAGCAAGAUUCUGAAAUGCUUUGGGCUCAAAACAAACACACGAACAAAAGAAUAAUGUGGUCCAUUAAUGAUUUCUUCCAGGGGGGUAGAAUGCAGAAUGGUGUCAAAAGAACCAAGUGUUUGCCAUUUCUGUUCUAGGGCAGCCAGAGGUUUAUGUCCAAAUCCAGUGUGCAAACCACUGGAGAGUGACAUGGAACAGGUGUCUUCAAAAUUCAAAGUUUAGCCAAUUAAAAAAAGGACUCUUGGUUUGCUUCUCUGUCACUAGGCAAAGCAAGGUAGUCAGACAAACUGUGCAGAGGUUCCCGGCCUUCACGUGACUGAGAUGCUAUUUCUCUUCACAGAAUGUAGUCGGCCCCUAUGUCCUCAGACCACCACAGGUCUCCUCCUAGAUUAGGGCAAGAGACAUAAGCCCAGAAAAGUGACUGUGGUAAUAAGGGGCAGUCUCCUGCUAGUGUGUCAGGGAUCCUUAACUUGGCCCGGUCAAUGCUGCUGGGAAGACAGUGCAGCAGGAGGAAGAGGAGCCAGCCAAGGAAAGACAG